AUGAGCGAUGUUGAAAAAGGCAAGAAGAUUUUUGUUCAGAAGUGUGCCCAGUGCCACACUGUGGAAAAGAGAAGCAAGCUUAAAACCGGACUAAAUCUCCACGGUCUGUUUGGGUGACAGGCAGGCCAGGCUGCUGAAUUCUCUUACACAUAUGCCAACAAGAGCAAAGGCAUCACCUUGAGAGAGGAUACUCUGAUGGAGUAUUUGGAGAAUCCCAAAAAUAUAUAUCGUGGAACAAAAAUGAUCUUCAAUGGAAUGAGAAUAAAGGAGAAAAGGCAGACCUGAUAGCUUAUCUUAAAAGGGCUACUAAUGAGUAAUUCUUCU
rnacentral:lncRNA from 1 species